rnacentral:rRNA from 1 species
CUGCUCAAUGAUUUUUUAAAUUGCUGUGGUAUUUUGACUAUACGAAGGUAUUGAAAUAAGACUUUUAAUGAGUGCUAAGAGAAUGAUUGAACAAUUUACAACUGUCUUUUUAUUAAUUAUUGGAAUUUGAUUUUUUUGUGCAAAAGCAAAAAUAAAUUUAAGGGACAAGAAGACCCUAUGAAUUUUUUAAUUUUAUUUGUAUAUUUAUAUUAAAAAAUAAAAUUUAAUUGGGGUGAUUAAAAAAGAACAAGAAUCUUUUUAAUUUUAAAAAAUUGAUCCAUUUACUAAUGAUAAUUUGAUAAAAAUACUCUAGGGAUAACAGCGUUAUAAUUUUGGAUAGCACAUAUAGAUAAAAUUGAUUGCGACCUCGAUGUUGGAUUAGGAUUCUUUCUUUGGUGAAGAAGCCAAGAAAAGAAGUUUGUUCAACUUUUAAACUCCUACUUGAUCUGAGUUCAGACCGG